AUGGUGCGCAGAAAGCCCACCCGUCUGGAAUUGAAGUUGGAUGACACUGAGGAGUUUGAGUGUGUCAAGAAACAGCUUGAGAUUCGGAAAAAACAGAGCGAUGAAGCGAUGAAGUAAUAUGGUGGGGGCCAGCGGUGGAACAGGGGAUGGGAAGACACGGGAACAGAUGAUCAACGAGAGAAGAAGCUACAAGCCCCAUCCUAAACCCAACACCUUGCCCUCACUCUUUGGAAACCUGCAGUUUUAGGUUCCUAAUAGGCACAUUAACAAGACUGCUCAAACCAGUGUUGGUGUGUGGAUGGCACAGUAACAAUGCUAUUGACAUGGUCAGGGAUACUUGUGUGCUUGCCUGAGGUCAGAAUUCUCUUCACAAAGAAAUAUGUAGUUUGAGGAUGAUGUUUUGCUUAUAACACACAUCUUCUAAAGUAAUGUUGUUGCAUUUACCUGAAAUGUUAUGACUUGCGAUGCAAAGCGUGUGGCCUUUCGUACAAUAUGUUUCAUGGGAGCAGUUGUAGUGGUUUCCCUCCAUUACACAAAUCCAGACUUGGUAGUCCCAGGAAGGUGAAGGUAGCAUCUUUGGGGCACAAUGGAAUGGACUUGAUAACUAAUCAGUUAUUACUUAGAAUGGUAUGAUUGUAGUUUUAUUGGCCUUCAAGGCUGCAUUAUGAGAAUGCAACAGAAUCAAACAUACAGUUCUUGAAUGAUACCAUUUAUUACUUUCUCUAGAUGAUUACAGCACUGUAAAUACGUCAUACUAUACAGACAUGUCUGUGGACUUUACAGUCCAGGUAAUGUUCACACUGUUGCUGCGCUGGAGUGGCAGUCAGACUCCCACUGCUGUUUUGGCCCAUUAACUUCAACGCUCGAGAUGUAUAGUAGACUAUAAUAAUACAUUUUGAUACAUGAUCCCAUGUGGUAAAGCAGAAACAGUUAUAAUAUGUUCAAGUAUACACCAACUAUUAAUGUCCCUGGCUUGAUUGUAAUGUAAUGAGGAUGUGCUGCAGUUAAAUUCAGUUAUAGCAACUAGGAAUUUGACCCUCAAACCAGGCACAGCACAUCACUAAGGCUGUGUUUAGACAAGCAGCUCAAUUCUGAUAUUUCUCACUAAUUGGUCUUUUGACCAAUCACAUCAGAUCUUUCUACAACCAAUAUUUUUCCAGAUCUGAUUGGUCAAAAGACCAAUUAACUGAGUGCAACAACAAACAAACAAAAUCAGAAUUGGGCUGCCGGUCUACAGAGACAGACAAUUCUGAAAUUUCCGCUAAUUGGUCUUUUAACCAAUCAAAUCAGCUCUAUUGCCAAAUCAUUAAAAGAUCAGAAUCAGACUGCCUGUGUAAAACACAGCUUUAGGCAACUGAUAAACAUUUACUAGUCAUUUCUCAGAGAUGAAAAAAAAUAUAAUCAAGAAACUAAAAAUACAACUUUCUCUUUAGGUUCUACUUCAUAGAUAUCCCCUCCUGUCAAAGUGUGAACUGUGAGGCGUAAGCACCGAUAGGUCACAAGAGGUGCAGUAAUCAUGUUACUAGGCCAGUCUGAGAAAGCACUAGAUCCAUCCUCGUACUUUCCCAGUUCCCUGCUUGCCCUUGGGAUCUGAGCACUUGCUCCAAUAAGGAAACUAGUGUCCAUGUUGUGUUGACAUGUGAACUAAUUUAAGCCUAUUGAAUGAAUGCACCAAAAGUUACUCCCAAGUUAUAUAAUGAACAUUUUAUAUUGGCUUCUUGAUGUACAAGAGCAAUUUACAUUUGUGUGUCAGAUCAAACCUUCGAGUGCCAAGUGUCAUUGGUAAAUAAUGAGGUUGUCAUUCAUAAACUACCAAAAUUGAACACAGCAUAGCAGUGUGUCUCAUGAAGAGGGUCUCAAAGGUUGCCGCGCUCUGCUGCAUUACACUAAUGUAUAUAAUCACACAACAUUUAAAGUGUACUGUACUUGACUGCUUGUCCACUGGACAAACUUCUUUAAAAUAGCACUGGCACUUGUCAGUAGACUACAGUUGGCCUAGGCUGUCAUGUUUCCCUCCUUUAAGGCAAAGGGUUUAGUAAGGCUUAGUCAUACAGCCAGAGCUGCCCCACCAUCUCCACACAAUCCCAAGUAUGACCUUUGACUCCUGUAGUUGAGAGACCCUGAUUAUGUUAGACCCCCCUCCGCCCCCAGAUUGUCAGAUGGAAUGCAGAUAUGACAAGGCUUCAGAAGAACACAUUGGCUUUAACGUGGGCCCAGGUGGGGUCAGGAAAAACUCUGGGCCCUAUUCACAAUGAUCUUCAAUGAGAAAGGAUGUAAGGGUCAUAAAUAGCCCUCUGAGUAGAAGAGCCUAGAGCCCCAGUGCUACAAGGAUGAACCUGCACUGGUUGUUGCG